CCUACGGGAGGCAGCAGUGAGGAAUAUUGGUCAAUGGACGAGAGUCUGAACCAGCCAAGUAGCGUGAAGGAUGACUGCCCUAUGGGUUGUAAACUUCUUUUAUAUGGGAAUAAAACGUUCCACGUGUGGGAUUUUGUAUGUACCAUAUGAAUAAGGAUCGGCUAACUCCGUGCCAGCAGCCGCCGUAAUACGGAGGAUCCGAGCGUUAUCCGGAUUUAUUGGGUUUAAAGGGAGCGUAGGUGGAUUGUUAAGUCAGUUGUGAAAGUUUGCGGCUCAACCGUAAAAUUGCAGUUGAAACUGGCAGUCUUGAGUACAGUAGAGGUGGGCGGAAUUCGCGGUGUAGCGGUGAAAUGCUUAGAUAUCACGAAGAACUCCGAUUGCGAAGGCAGUUCACUGGACUGCAACUGACACUGAGGCUCGAAAGUGUGGGUAUCAAACAGGAUUAGAUACCCGGGUAGUC
rnacentral:rRNA from 1 species